UACGAAGGGGGCUAGCGUUGCUCGGAAUCACUGGGCGUAAAGGGUGCGUAGGCGGGUCUUUAAGUCAGGGGUGAAAUCCUGGAGCUCAACUCCAGAACUGCCUUUGAUACUGAAGAUCUUGAGUUCGGGAGAGGUGAGUGGAACUGCGAGUGUAGAGGUGAAAUUCGUAGAUAUUCGCAAGAACACCAGUGGCGAAGGCGGCUCACUGGCCCGAUACUGACGCUGAGGCACGAAGGCCAGGGGAGCAAACGGGG
rnacentral:rRNA from 1 species